GGAGAGAUGCCGGAGAGGCCAAACGGCCCUGACUCGAAAUCAGUGGGCGGUUCUGCCGCACGUGGGUUCGAAUCCCACUCUCUCCGCCA
rnacentral:tRNA from 1 species